CGCGCCGAGGCGGCCGCCGCUUCCGGAGCUGCCAAACUACAGUUCCCGGUGGCGGCGGGAAGGGCGCCCCGCCCUUCCGGCCGGCGGGGUCCGUUGCUAAGGCGCCAUGACAACGGUGCUGAAGAUGGCUGCUGCGCCGCUGCAAGCGCCGUAGCCCAUUCCUGCCGCCGUCUCGCCUUCUGUCCCCUUCCUCGGGGUCGCGCCCGAGCCCGAGCGAGGAGCUCCCGCGGGCGACGGGGCCGCCCCGGGGCCGGUCGGUCCGUGGCCGCGCCCGGGAGAUGCUGGCGGUGCCCGCUCGCCUCGGCUGAUCGGCGCCUCCGGCUGCCGUGCCGCCGCCCGGCCGCCUCUCUGCCUCUGGCCUCGCCUCCCCGUGAAGAAGAAUGUCUUUGUUUAAAGCGCGAGACUGGUGGUCCACCGUACUUGGAGAAAAAGAAGAAUUUGAUCAAGGCUGUCUUUGUGUUGCUGAUGUUGAUAACAGUGGGCAAGAUAAAAUUAUUGUGGGCAGUUAUAUGGGAUAUCUCCGAAUCUUUAAUCCACAUCCUGUGAAACCUGGGGAUGGAGUCCAAGCUGAAGACUUGCUCUUGGAAGUGCAGUUACGAGAACCAAUACUGCAGGUGGAAGUGGGAAAAUUUGUUUCUGGCACCGAAGUACUUCAUCUGGCUGUGUUGCAUUGCAGAAAACUCUGUGUAUAUGCUGUUUCAGGAACUCUGGGAAAUGUGGAACAUGGGAACCAGUAUCAGAUUAAACGGAUGUAUGAGCACAAUCUUCAGCGAACUGCUUGUAAUAUGACUUAUGGACCAUUUGGUGGUGUAAAAGGUCGAGAUUUGAUAUGUAUACAGUCCAUGGAUGGGAUGCUUAUGUUAUUUGAGCAGGAAAGCUAUGCUUUUGGACGAUUUUUACCUGGUUUUCUUCUGCCUGGUCCUUUAACUUACAGUUCUCGGACAGAUUCUUUCAUUACAGUGUCUUCCUGUCGACAGGUUGAGAGUUACAAAUACCAAGUGCUGGCGUUUGCAACAGAUGCUGAUGAAAGACAAGAAACAGAACAGCAAAAACUUAGUUCUGGAAAAAGACUUGUGGUGGAUUGGGUUUUAAACAUUGGAGAACAAGCACUGGAUAUAUGCGUUGUGUCCUUUAAUCAAGCAGUUUCUUCUAUUUUUGUGCUUGGUGAGAGAAACUUCUUUUGUCUUAAGGAUAAUGGGCAAAUCCGAUUCAUGAAAAAGCUUGAUUGCAACCCAAGUUGCUUCCUUCCUUAUUGCUCAGUGACAGAAGGAACAAUAAACACUUUGGUUGGAAACCAUAGUAACAUGUUGCAUGUUUAUCAGGAUGUGACACUGAAGUGGGCCACUCAACUUCCUCACAUUCCUGUAUCAGUAAAGGUAGCAAAUUUACAAGAUCUGAGGGGUGUUAUAGUUACUCUGAGUGACAGUGGGCAUCUUCAGUGUUCCUACCUUGGAACUGAUCCUUCGCUAUUCCAGGCUCCCAAGAUCGAAUCUAGGGAAAUAAACUAUGAGGAACUUGAUGCUGAAAUGAAACAGCUUCAGAAAAUUAUCAAGGAAGCCUCAAAAACACAAGAUGUUUUGCCCAAAUCUGAAAGACAGAGAGAUCUAAUUGUCACUGCAGAAGUUUCACCUGAACUGGAUGCAGAAUCUCAAGCCGUUGACAGUGAGGUAAAAGCAGAGGCAGUUCCAUCAGUCACAGUAAAGAUAACAAUACAGAGCAGAGUGACUGCACAGAAACCAAAGCUGGCAGUAUGUGUACAAGCUCCAUUAGCGGUGACCUGCGACCAGUUCGUCUUUGAUGAUUUAGAACCAGAUGCAUCUGAAACCGUGGUCCUGUCUGUCUUUUUGAAGGGGAAUUGUCCUCCGCCAGAACUCGAAGGAAAUGGUGUGCUUUCGUAUAGUACACCAAUAGAGCUCAAUCCCGAAGGAAUACUAAAAGUUGCACAGUUUAAAUUCAGGCUACCUUUGAGAUUAAUUUGCUUUCCAGCUCAACCUUCAAAAACAGCAAACCACAAGCUAACUAUUGAUACCAAUAAACCUCCUGUCAGUUUGCUCACCAUUUUUCCAGACUUUGCUGAUCAAUCUGAAGAUGACCAGUCCAAUGCUCUGGGAUUUCAGUUUUUAACUGGUUCAAAAAUCACUCUUCUUGCUUCAAAAACAUCACAACGAUACAGAAUCCAGAGUGAUCAGUUAGAAGACCUAUGGCUAAUCACAAAAGAGCUCACCCUUAGACUUGAAGAACAUUUCAAGAAGGAAAAUUGCAAAGACUUUGUGUGUACCUUUUCUGGUUCAAUUCCCCUGCAAGAAUAUUUUGAACUAAUUGAUCGACAUUUUGAGCUACGUUUGAAUGCUGAAAAAUUUCAGGAGCUGUUAUCUGAAAGGGCUGUACAGUUUAGAGCUAUUGAGCGGCGACUGCUGACACGAUUCAAAGACAAAACUCCUGCUCCUCUUCAACAUCUGGACACCUUGCUAGAAGGAACAUUUAGAGAGGUAAUAGCUCUAGCAGAUGGAGCAGAGGAAAACCAAGCCAAUGUGUUCCAGGCAUUUACGAAGUUGAAAAGUGCCACCCAUCUGGUGGUUAUGCUGAUUAGUCUGUGGCAGAAGCUCAGCACUGAUCAAGUUGCUAUUCUGGAAGCUACAUUUUUGCCAUUAGCACAAGAUACGCAAGAGCUGGGCUGGGAAGAAACUGUGGAUGCUGCCAUUUCUUACUUAUUAAGAACUUGUUUGUCAAAGAGCUCUAAGGAACAGGCCCUGACUCUCACCAGCGAGUUGUCCAUACCUAAAGAUACUAGUAGGCUGAAGAAACAUAUCACCCUCCUCUGUGACAGAUUGGCCAAAGGUGGUCGCCUUUCCUUAAGUACUGAGACAACCACUCAGCAAACUGUUGUCAUGCCAGGUCGCUGCGCUACAAUCCCAGAGUCUGACUUAGAGGAAGGAACAAUUGUACCGGGCACUGCAGCAAUGUUUACCAAUCAUAGGCACAUCACGAAGCAGAAAUCCAAGCCUGAUGAUUUCCUUGUCAGAGUCUGAGUGAGAGAAGAACCCAAAGACCUGCAUAAAAAAGAAAAAGCAGUUAUUUUCAGUGGAAUCAGCAGGUCAGAGGUUUGUCUGAGGAUGCAGCAGAGGAAGCAGAAAAGCCAUGAAAUCUGAAGAUGGCCCUCAGGAGGAAUUUCAUCUGAUGUCAAAUGCAUUUAUAAUGCAGCACUACCAAACUACCAAUUUUACUCUGUACUGGUUGCAGCCUCCAGAAGGAGAGGACUGUGUAAAAUGUUCCCUUCAGAUCAAAUUAGUUGGGUUUCCCUGCCAACUACUAGCAUCAUCUCUGUGACCAAAAUUUAAGCGCUUACCAACUGUUGUAGGCAUGUUGUGUUAUGUUUUGUGAUAUAUCAGCCCUUUCUAAGGAUUCUGUUGAUUGAUCAAAGACUGUUUACUCACGGUUAAAAACAACAUUUGUUUCAGGGUUUAUCUGUUUUUUAAGAUAUUCUGAACCAUACCUCCCUUUGAGAUUACAUUAACAUUUGUUUUAUCACAGUUUUGACAAAACUAUCUCCCUUCCUCCUGUACUAACAUUCACAAUUUCAGACAGCUGAAUUAACUACCAGAAAAAAAGCUGCUAAUCCAUCAACUUUUUUUUCUCUCUCUCGUUCCUUAUACAGACUCAUGCUCUCAAGAGAUACAGAGUAAAAUAUGGUUACUGGACAUAAAGGGCAUACCCUUUUGCCAUUAACUAUGUCACUAUGAAUGUGAAUAAAGUUUACGCUCUAAGUACCCUGAGCGCAGCAACACAUGGAUCUUUUUAUGGUUACCUGUGAUUUCUGUUUUUCUUGUGAAUCAGUCUGUUCUAGUUAUGGGUUAGAUUUCCAGAAGUGGUUAGCAGUGCCUAAAUCUUUUUGAAUCUAGCUGGGAGAGUGCUUAGAGGGUCUAGUUUUUAGAAAGUGCUGAGCACUCACGUUCUGCAAGUCAGGCCCUGCAAGGUGUUGGAAAUGCAACACUCAGCAACUCCAAAACUGAGGCAACAAAAACACAUUUGAGAACCUUGGCCUAGGGUUUGGAAGUGUCUGAAUGGACAGACAGGAGCUCACAUCUGAAUUACUAAGCUGAGUAUGAUGUCAGUACGAAAUAUUUGGAACUGAAAAGAACUGAGACCUGUGUAAAGUGUAAAGAUAAGGAGUUGCACAAGUUCUCCCUUCACUGUUGCUGGUUCAUAGAAAAUUAUAUGCUGCAAUCUUGGAUGGCAGAUACAGAAUGCAUUACUGGUCUCAACUUAGUUCCUGGUGGAUGCAAUUGCAUGAGCCAUCUCCACAUCCCAUAUUCCUGUUUGUUUCCUUGACAGAGAUUCACCAAGCUAUUGUUCUAGCCAUAGAAGAAGUCCCUUCAGCUCACUUUUGCACUGUUUUAGCAGGGAUUGUGAUGGUUGCUGUAGUCUACACUAGACUUGUUCUGUGAAUAAAAACGAGACAUUAUUUUUCAGGAUAUCUAAGCCAGCAAUUUUCAUCACCUCCAUAUCUACUCUCAACCUCUUUGAAUCCAAUCCCAAAACAAAACCAGUUUCUCCAGUUUCCACCAAUUGUGCAUCUGCUGCUUAACCCUGUUGUCCUGCUUUGGCUCAGUAAACAUGAUGUAACCAUGUUUCUUGGAGCCUUUUUCAACAUGUUAGCUAUUAAGUGGAGCCAAGAGGCUGGGUAACUGGGUAAGGCUACUGAUACCCCUAGAACUGAAGUGACCAGUGACGCCCAUAAAAAUGACUCUGGCCCACAAGAGACCCCAGAGAUCUGCAAGUUGUGGGGCCAGAAAUCUUGCUGCUUUCCCAGGAAGACAAAAAUCCUACCCCCUGCUUAUUGUGGAGUGAUUCUGCUGGCUGAAUUUUCUUCACUUGGAUCUGUCCCCUGUGGUUUUUAUCAGGAGGGCAGUAUCCAACCCAUUGUAAAGGUACCCUACUGCGCUGUGAAAAGUACACAAUAAAAUAAUCUCCUGUAGUCUCUGUACACACCUCAGUGACCAAAGAAAAUCCAUGGAGAACUAAUCAAUUACUGUAGCUAUUAGGCUUAAACUUUAACUAUAGAUCUCAAAUCUUUUGUCCUCUUGUCAGUGGCUACUCGCUAUUCUGGAAAAAUCAGCUGCAGUUACAACUGGAAACCCAUACCGUAUAAGUGCCAUUAUGCUGUAGAAUCCUGAGCCAAAGAAUCCUAUGCUAUAUACGUACGAUAGUAGCUGGAAAAGACACUGCGAUUAGACUUCUGUGAUUUAUAUUGUUCUGUUGUAAUUAUCAUUACCAAGUGUGAUCCAAAUGAUCAGAGCUGCCUGGCUCCAUUGGGAGUUUAGGGUAAACAAUGUCUAGGGACUCAGGUCAAUUAUACUAUGUACUCGUAUUUCUUUAAGUUAUUUUCUGUCAUUUUAAAAUGUAAGGCUCAGAGGCACUCUUAUUUGUCUUAUGUUCUCCAUGCUUUGUAAAAUGAGGUCUCGUGGGAAUAUUCUUAUAGAAAGGGGAAAACAUACUGGUUAUAAAGAAAGAAAAGAAGAGGUAGGACUGUCUAUAGUAGUAAUGUAUGACCUCUUUGUAUAUUGUGCUAAAUUGUGAAAUGCGAUAGUAUCAUCAGGAUUUAAAUGAGAAAUACUGUAGCAAUGAGUGAAAAUUACUUGGUUUUCCGCUAAUACCAAAUAGUCAGGCUAAAUCAGGAGAAGUCAGUCGUUGAAAUGUAGUCAUUUACAUGGCAGGCUGAGAUGAAAUAUUGUAAAGUAAUUCUUAGCAGUUCUCAUAUGUAGUUUGAAUUUUAAAAAAAAUUGGCUGGCAAAAAAUAAGGCCAGUUACAUGAAGUUUUGAAGUUAGAGAGCCGAUCAACUGAAAAAUGGAAGGAAACAUCGCUAGUUUGGGGGACCAAAUGUUCAGUUCUCAUCAACAAUGUUUUUGAACAGGCCAGGAAAGACAUUGCUGACCAAUCAAACUAUUAUAGACAGGAUUUUAGAGUAAUACCUGGUCAAUUGUUCUGUUAAUUAUAAUAUCACACUGUUUUCAAAUGAAAUCAGGUCAUUAAUAUAAAUGUUAUAUCUAGAAACCUAGUGAUUUAUUCUGCAAAAAGAAUACGCAUGUGAAAACUCUUACUUUCUUUUCAGUAUGCUUAAAUAUGCAGCUUGUCUGCUCAUUGAACUAUUUGAAGAGAAUUUUUUAUUUUUAGGUGGCUCAUAGGCAAAAAUGAAGUUUAAAUGAACAUUUUAUUAAAAUCAGUUUUGGAUAUUAUAUAUAUAUAAAGAGAAUAUCAUGACAUUUUGAAAACCACACUGAGAGUCAUGGCAACUUUUUUAUUGUAUAUGUGCUAUAGCACUUUGGAAUGCAUUUUCUAAGUCAUAACCUAAAAUAUAUACAUCUUAUUUCUAUUAAAUGGGUAAAUAUUUUGUAAAGUUUUAUUUUCUGAAUAUUAUUGCCCAAGGGCUUUUUCUUUGAUUUUGUUUUUAUGCUGUUGAAUUUUAGAAAAACAGAUUAAAGCAAUUACUGCUUUGAUGACCAAAAUCUGAAGGCUUGGGCUCUGAUGAUCUUUUGGGCUUUGAAUGCAAUGCUGAGUUCAAACCAGUGCUGUGGUUUCCAGCUCCAGAUUGAUUCUUUUGUCCAGCUAUUAUUAAAGCAUGACCCAGAAAAACAAUAAUUCUUUACUUUCAAGGAGCAGUUUUUCACUGUAUAAUGUCUUGUCUUUCUCUUCUUCAGCAUGUAUUAUGCAAAGAGUGUUAGAAAUAAGUUUGAAUAUUGUUAUAUCACUUAUAAAAUUCUUGUAUUGCUUAUAAAGAGUAAUUUACUGCCAUAAACUGAAGUUUUCUGAGCAGAGAUUGUAAUUUCUGUGUGAAGUCCUUUCAGCUUAAACAAAUACGUAGGCUAUGCAUCAUAUUGAAUAAAUAUCUUCCCUGUUUAUCAGAAUAUCCUGUUUAGAAACACUGUAUGCAAAAAACUGUGCUUCAAAGACAUUGCAAAAUAUAUGACGUACUCCUGGAACCAA